CACGUAGGGCGCAAGCGUUGUCCGGAAUUAUUGGGCGUAAAGAGCUCGUAGGCGGUCUGUUACGUCUGCUGUGAAAACCCAGGGCUUAACCCUGGGCUUGCAGUGGAUACGGGCAGACUAGAGGCAGGUAGGGGAGAAUGGAAUUCCCGGUGUAGCGGUGAAAUGCGCAGAUAUCGGGAGGAACACCGGUGGCGAAGGCGGUUCUCUGGGCCUGACCUGACGCUGAGGCACGAAGGCCAGGGAGCAAACGGG
rnacentral:rRNA from 1 species